rnacentral:sRNA from 1 species
CCAAACUUAAUUAAAUAACACACAUACACCGUCACAUAAGCCGGGGUGCCAGUGAAAACUGGUCGGAUUUAUGGGGUGUAUGGAGGCCUAAC